rnacentral:rRNA from 1 species
AUGCCAACCAACGGUCAAUUGGGUUCCAACGAUAAUGGCAAAGAGUUCGAUCAAAAGGUAUACCGCUUCAUGAUUGGUUCUUUAUUGUACUUAUGUGCAUCUAGGCCAGAUAUAGUGCUUAGCGUUUGCAUGUGUGCCCGAUUCCAAGAAACACUAAAGGAGUUGCAUCACCUUGCGGUGAAGCGAAUACUUCGAUAUUUGGCUCACACCCCAAUGCUAGGAUUAUGGUAUUCAAAGGGCUCAAAGUUUGAUCUAGUUGGAUUCUCGGAUGUUGAUUAUGCUGGUGACAAGGUGGAUCGCAAGUCUACAUCAGGCACAUGCCACUUUCUUGGUCGAUCGCUUGUCUGUUGGUCUUCAAAGAAGCAGAACCGCGUGUCACUCUCUAUUGCUGAAGCUGAAUAUAUUGCUGCUGGAUCUUGCUGCGCUCAGCUUAUAUGGAUGAAGCAAACUCUCAAGGACUAUGUCAUCAACAAGAAGAUGGUGCCACUCUACUGUGACAAUGAAAGCGCCAUCAAGAUUGCACACAAUCCUGUUCAGCACUCCAAGACCAAGCCAUUCAGAUUCGUCAUCAUUUUCUCAGGGAUCAUGUGCUAA